AGUUGGUUAGAGCGCGCGCUUGAUAAGCGUGAGGUCGGAAGUUCAAGUCUUCCCAGGCCCACCAUUUUGAUCGAGUGCGGAGCAUUCGUCUUCUGGUACGGGGCCAUAGCUCAGCUGGGAGAGCGCGUGCUUUGCAAGCAUGAGGUCGUCGGUUCGAUCCCGUCUGGCUCCACCAGAUGGAAUUGAAGCUCGACAGUGCCUCGUUCAUUUCGUCCGCGAAACAUCACUUCGCACUCAUUGGUCCGGAUGGACGGUGACGUGCGUGUUUUCUGACAUCGUAAAGAGGAGAUCGAUCCGAGUUUGGAUCAAGCGAAGCAAUUCGCCUGAGCCAUUCAUUAUCUCCGGGAUCAUUUCGGCGCUCGCUUCAAUCGUGAGAUUGGAUGCGGGUUGUAAAUGAUCCCUUUUAGCGAAGCUUGACCGCCUCGCUAUCGGGCCGAUCUUACGAAGCAAGCUGGUCUUUCUAGUCAAUGUCCGGCUGCGCAAUCGCAUUCAUCGAGGAUGCGUGCCUUCAAUGGCAGUUGUGCAGACAACAUUCUGCCGAGUGUGUGGACAUUGAUAAUGAGAGCAAUCAAGUGCCUUAAGGGUGUUCGGUGGAUGCCUUGGCGCUGAGAGGCGAUGAAGGACGUGCUACGCUGCGAUAAGCCGUGGGGAGCUGCGAAGAAGCUUUGAUCCGCGGAUUUCCGAAUGGGG
rnacentral:misc_RNA from 1 species